rnacentral:lncRNA from 1 species
UGAGCAAGUAAUUUUUCCUGGGUGGACGGAAAUCUAAAGUCUGUUUUCUAACACUCUUACAGACACUUCUCUGUCCAUCGGCCUGUCCUGCCAACUCUGGUGUGAGUGUGAAGUUGUGGCAAGAGGGGUUUCCCGUUCCUAUUUGACCUGGUGGACACCAGCUUUCCUAGGAAAUUGCUGAUGUUGCUGAGGAGGCAGCAGUAUCAAAGCCCUCGAUUCUGAAAGCAGCAAAGCAAGCUAGAGGAAAACGGUAUGUCCGGUAUCCAAAACUCCGUAUCACAGCGGAUCUUCUCCUCUGAUCUGAAAAGCUUCACAGGCCAAAAGAGAAUUGAGAUGAAGAAGGAAAUAGAGAAUGCUGACCAGUAUUUCCAAUUACCACCCCAACUUCUGUCUUGGCUCUUCACAUCCAGCCAGAGCAGUUUCUUUGCCUCCGCAACCUGCAGGCUGUCCUCUCGUGUGUACCUGUGGUGGACUGAGGGUAUUAGGUGAAGAAGAACACUGCAACCAGCUGAAGCCGUAUCAGCAUAGAUGCUUCUGUGCUAGGAAGUAAUUCAGAGUGCUUCCAUGGUGUAC